rnacentral:rRNA from 1 species
GGUUUUUUGGUGUUGGAUAAAAAAUCAGGCCUGCCCACUGAUGAAUGGCUGCAGUAUUUUGACUGUACAAAGGUAGCAUAAUCAUUAGUCUUUUGAUUGUAGACUGGUAUGAAAGGUUAGACGGAGAUGAGCUGUUUUAAGUAUAUUGAUGAAUUUUAUUUUUAAGGAAAAGAGCUUAAAUAUAGUAAUGGGACGAUAAGACCCUAUUAAAUUUAAUAUAGUCAUUUAUUUUUAGUUUAAUAGAAAAAUUAAAUUUAUAUUAAUUUUACUGGGGCGGUAAGUAAUUAACUUUAUUAUUAUUUAAUAUUUUAUUUAGCGAUAAUUUGAUCCAAAUGGUUUGAUAUAAGAUAAAAUUACUGUAGGGAUAACAGCGUAAUAUUUUUUGAGAGUUCUUAUUGACAAAAAUGUUUGCGACCUCGAUGUUGGAUUGAGAAGUCUUUUUGGUGUAGUAGUUUUAAAAGAAGGUCUGUUCGACCUUUAAAUUCUU